rnacentral:rRNA from 1 species
GACGAACGCUGGCGGCGUGCUUAACACAUGCAGGUCGAGCGGUAAGGCCCUUUCGGGGGUACACGAGCGGCGAACGGGUGAGUAACACGUGGGUGACCUGCCCUCAGCUCUGGGAUAAGCCCGGGAAACUGGGUCUAAUACCGGAUAUGACUCCAUGACGCAUGUUGUGGGGUGGAAAGCCUUGUGCGGCUGAGGAUGGGCCCGCGGCCUAUCAGCUUGUUGGUGGGGUGAUGGCCACCAAGGCGACGACGGGUAGCCGGCCUGAGAGGGCGACCGGCCACACUGGGACUGAGAUACGGCCCAGACUCCUACGGGAGGCAGCAGUGGGGAAUCUUGCGCAAUGGGCGAAAGCCUGACGCAGCGACGCCGCGUGAGGGAUGACGGCCU